rnacentral:lncRNA from 1 species
CAGUUGAGGUACAUGUACUUAAAAUCCCUCCUGGAAUACACCCAAAUUACAAAAGAAAACAAAGUUACCUACUAAAAAUUAGAAGGAGUGAGCAAGAGAAGCUUAGGUAGUUAUCCAUUUUUUUAAUUCGAUUUUAUGUAAUUAACAUUGUUCCAAAUGUUGUAUGAUACCAUUUAUAUCCUAAUAGUGUUAAUAGAUUAUAAAGUUCAUGAUACGACUGAGAGCAGAAUUAUUCAAGGAAUGGGCAGAGAACUGGGAAGGAAACUGAGAAGAGGUAGCCAAAGAAGUAGGGGAAAAUUAGGAGAGUGUCAUCAUGGAAGUUAAAGGAAGAGUAUUUCAAGAGAAUGGAGGUGAAUGGAAGGCUGCUAAUGACAGCAGUGCUGGGAGAACAACACGUGCACACCCUGAUAUGAAGGUAUAUGUUAUCACUCUUAGGUGCAGUCAGGUUUGUUAGAAAUAGAAAAUCCUCACAAAUUAGUGAUAAGACCAAUUCGUCAAUUAAAAUCAUUAUUUGUAAUAAUCUAGCCUUUAUGCAGCUUCUCAAAUAUAGCUAUUUUAAAAAUAAUAAACACAUUCAUAUAAUAAAUCCAUUCAGAAUCAGACACCAUUUUGUAUAAAAGUGUAAACAAUGAACCUGCAAUUAUUUUAUGGAAUAAGAUAACUUUAGGGCAGUUUAGCAGUAUUUCAUUUAACAUUCUUUGAAAUUUGAGCAGACCUGUGGUCUAUGGAAGCUGUUUCUUUUACACUGCAAACAGGGAAAUUUAUAGGUGUUAAAUUUGCUAUAAAAUUGUUCCUUUAUUGCUCCUUUACUAAUAAAACAUUAAAAAUUACAUAUUUGGAAAUCUAAAUAAAAGCAUUUUCAAACUGAAAUAAUAAAUACAACACAGUAUUAGAUAACUAAAACUUGCUCCCUUUAUGUGUAUACAUAUCAGAUAGGACACAUGAAAUGCCAGGAAAUAGGCAAUGAUGAUAUUUUCUCUGGAUAUUUAAUCUCUAAACACAUGAAAUAUAUUACAUACAGUAUAAUCCUGAUGAAAUAUAACUUGUUAUUCCAGAGGAUUGGGUUGGACCAACCCAGAAUGGGGGUCGGGGUUACAACCAUCUCAAACCACAUCAGCUGAAUCACCAUCCCCCUAGUUCCACAUUGCUCAAUCUGAGGAUAAAUUGCAACAUAUUUAGCAACCUAUGCACCAGUCCCAAGUCCCAAAACCACUCAUGCAGUGGCCACUGCAUGAUGUCAUUUGGUGGCAUGUGGUCUAACUUAAGCUACUUACCAACCAUCAGGGCAGAAUUUCCAGUUUCUACCUGCAGUAACAUCAUGCCUGUGUGUAUUGGCUGAAUAUAAGCCAUGGCCCCGUCUCUUCUGAGUAGUUCCGCAAAUCUCAAGGCCAUCUCUCACAUUUAUGUUAGAACAAGGCCAUGAAUGCUGUUUUCUUCUAUCUCAUGAUCCCUACCAUUUCUUCUUCUGUUUCUCACCUCAAUAAAAUGGCUCCCAUGUUGAUGCCUUGAUUCCCGGAAGGAGCUACUGUUUUGCUUUGCCUCUUAACAUCGCUCAGGAAGGUGAGAACGUGUGGAGACAAAAUAAAUAAAACACAUUACAAGCUCAUUCCACAGAUGAACAGAACAAUUGGUGCUGAACAAGUCUACAGGAGGCAUCUUCCAGCCUCCAGGAAAGCUGUAGGAGCUUGUCAUGCAUGCAUUAAAGUGCCCCCAGAACUCGAAAACCAUUCCAUCAGAGGAGCUAAUAAGAACCAACGAGUCAUUGACAACAGCAACCAUCAGUAACCCUCUCUGAGAGCUGGUAAUGAACAGCAACAAAUAUUGGGGAUAGUUAAGAUGAGCCAGGUAAAGGUUCAGGAAAAUGACUGAAUAGAUUACAGGCAGCAGGAACUGUGAUCCAUCUGAAGAAAAAGGGGAAUCAUGUGAGUGGAUGUGUGGCAGCUAGAAAAUCUGCACAUAUUGAGGGUGUGAAUAGUUGACAUCGUGCACUCCUUGGUGGGCACUGCGUGCUUGCUUGCUAUAGGACACUUGUUCACUGGUAUUUUGGUAACCAGUAGUUUUUGCCUGUCUCCAGAAUAAGAGGGAAGCAGCAGUGACCCAACUCUGGAAAUUAUCUACCAGGCUCACAUCCCAUAUAUUGCCCUAUAUCCCUUGAAAACAGCAAAUUUAUAUGCACAAUAAAAGCGUUAAUAUUGCAUGUUAAUUUCUUCUUCCCCCAAAUUGGAGAGUUGGCAGAAGGACUAAUAAAGAUGACUAGUGUGAAUAGUCUCUCAAAAUAGUCAUUUCAUAAAUUAAAUAGGAGAUGCAUUCACUGCAGCUGAGAUUUAUGAAAGUUCUGUGAGGUGGCAAAACAGGGUUUGCAAUUCAGGAUUUUAUUGCCCUUAGGGGCUGUGGCUAAUCUGUUGUGAAGUGAGGUUUCAGUUGGUUUGUUGGGGGGGGGUUGAUUUGUUGCAUUUUUUUAUGUUUAUGUUCAGUGUUUUAUAUUCAUUACAGGCAUCCAUCUCCUGGGUCUGAAAAGUAAAUAGAAUGUGGUCCCUGUCACAAGACACUGAAAGGUGGGCCUGGAUGGAGAGCUAGGACGAGGGGAUGUUAAUUCUGGUCCUGCUCUGAAAAUUAGCCAUUCCCUUUGAUUAUAUAUGAUAAAUCAUUACAUAAUUCCUACCUUUUCUACUUCACAACAUGUCAUGAGAUAAAUGUAAGAUGCCAUAUUUGAAAGGAUAAAUGCAGGGGUAGAUUCUCUUACGGGAUGAUGUAGAAAGAGAAUAUGCCAGCUUUUCAAAAAUAUCUUUAGUAUGGGGCAGCACUUAGAGCUUUAGUUGGCUGUCAGACACAUAAUAUAUAAAUUGCAAGCAUGAUCAUCACACAGAAUGUAAAGAUGCCAAGUGUGCAUGAACAAAUUAGAGGUUUCUUAGUCAAAUCCAAGCAAAUAUGUACCUGAUAAUGGCUUUGGCUGAAACAUAUUUUUAUAUUUUAUAGCAUGUUCACAUUUGCCAGUGGUUAGCAAAGAUUAAGCUUGCCAAACUUUAAUGUGGUACAAAUGCCAUGUUCAAGGCAAAGAGACAAACUUUUGUGCUUGGCCUGAUCUACUAGGAAAAGAGGAAGCAAAGGAAAAUCCUGAGGAUAUUAGAAAACCUGAACCCUAGGCUGCUCUCACUCAGGUUUAGGGUUUGAGUUUUUACUAUCUGGAUGACACCUAGGUUCUCCACAAAAUAAUGUAAAAAGCAUUCUCAGGUUGAUAACAAUACUGGUGCCCCCUAAUAUGAGUGACUAAAAGCCUUCUCUAGGAAGACCUAUUUUCAACCUAGGUUGCACAGGAGUCCUAUAGGUGUCACCCUAUCAGUGGCCUUUCUCUGGGCAGCACUAGUCAUCUUCUGUCUUCAGCUUCUUUCCUUGCUCUUAGAACCUCACUGCAAUCUGUCUGAAGGAGCAGUGGACUCCAGCUAGUGCCUCUGUCGGAGGUCAGAGCCCCAGAUCCAGGAAACCUGUCCUACAAGCUCCUGAUGUAUCAGGAAUGACUUGGCAGUGGCCCCACCUCAAGACAUGGGUCCCUACUCUAUGAGGCUCUCAUCUAACUUACAGUUCUGGAAACUCCAACCUCUUCCCUAAGAGUGGUAGUUGCUUCUUACUUAUCUCUGUUAUCUUAGUGCCUCUUUGCUUUUUAGCCUUUCAACAUCUGUAAUAAACUUCCCAUAUCAAAUUCCCUCUGUUAAAAUACCUAGUGUGGUGUCCAUUUUCUCGACCGGACCUCGAUGGAAAAGAAUGCAGUCCUCCAAGGGAGUGGCUCUGAGAUGGGGCCAGGGUGGGAAGAACUUAGAUUCAACUUCCCCUCCACCACCACUUAAAGUAUGAGGAGCUAGGAGCAAUACAGUGUUGACAGUCCCUAUCCUGGCAGGGGGCAGUUGGGAAAACACUGGAUUAGAAAAGAUGAAAGACAAUGGAGCUUCCCUAGGAGACUGAUUUUUGAAGGGCUUUUGAUCAUCCUCCACCCAGUGUCAAAGCCAGUCAUGAAUCCUCAGAACCAAGGAGGUCCUGGCAAGUUCUGUUGUGGUUACCCGUCGGACAUCCCUGUCUGGUCACCGGGGCUCCGAGGGGUGCCCUGCUCUCAGGAUGCUGGGAUAUGAGUGUCUAAAGUGGGCCUUUCACUCAUCAGUGAUUUUCCCAGGCUGUUACCUGUGUGUGAGUCUGAGAUACAGUGACCAGGCAGGUGACUUCAAAACUGUCCACAGAGACUGCCAGGGGCUUGUCAGGUGAAUGGAAAAUGAAAUAAAUAUAAGAACAUCGCCAAGGGUACGUUUACCUGUUUUUCAGUAAGGGAGUAAGACACCUUCAUGCCUGGCUGAACCACCAACUUCGCAGGCUUCGUGUAGACACUACAACUGUUUAUGUGUUUGGAUUUUCACUAAUUACUCCUCUCCAGUUUUUUCCCCUGGUGUCCCAGGUGUGUUGAUUUUAAUUGCUUCACUCAUUUAAGCAUCUCCCCAGACUGUAAUAGAUUAGUUAGCCGUCCAAGCCUGCUGCUGGCUUUCCCCUCUCCCCUUCUCAUUUGCUUCCAUACCCAAAAUAACCAGAAACAUUCAUUGCUCAGUAAUGAGGCUGCAAUUCUUCUCUGCGGAAUCCAGGAAGACAUAAAAGGCAGUCUCUAUGUUAACAUCAACUCCUGCUUUCCUCGUCUUUGUUCUAUUAUACGCUCUCUGCUGACUAACUUUAGAGAAGAAGCAAAUGUUACCCCACCUUACCAGAGCAUGAAGUUGUGUUACUGAGCAAUCUUAGGGCAAUUUACUAUGUAAGACACUCAAAACAAACCAAAAUAGACACAUACACACACACACACGCACAGAGUAGGUCAAAACAAAACAGUGUGGGCAUCCUUUCUAAUUUUUCAAACCUCACCUGCUGAAUAGCAUAUUUAAUAAAGCACAUACCACUUAUUUGAUCUGGCAGUACUUAACGCAAUAACUUACACACAAAGAAAGGCCCAAACAUUUAGCCACAGGAUGUCAUCAAAUAAGGGAAGAAGAAUCUGUGUGGAUUGAAAGGUUUUUCAUUUACUAAAGGCUUUACAAAGUAGUAAUAAAUUUGCUUUUCCAUAUUUUGUUACUUCUCUCCUACUCCUCACCAUGGAAUAUGUAGGCUAAUUCUAGGGGAAUGGGCACGGCUUUGACAUGGGUUAGUGGGAAUUUGAAAUUUUGGCAGGCAUGGCAAAUUUGAAUUUUGUUGGACAUUUGGAAUUGCCAGUCCUGGCUUGAUUGGUUUACUUUAAUAACAUUUAUUUUGACAGAUAGUGUGUUAGGUGCUGAGGACACAGAAAUUAGUAAGCUAUGCUUUUCUCUCCAAGAAGUCAUAAUCUGGGAACGGAGACAUAUACACGAAAAGACAUAUCCAAUAUGGUGUGGCAGUGUUGGGCAUAGGUGGAUGUAAGAGGAGAGGGCUCUCUACUCAUUUCCUAGGGCUGCUGUAUCACAUCACUACAAACCAAGUAGCAGAAAUGUAUGCUCUCAUAGUUCUGGAGACUGGAAGUUCAAAAUCAAGGUGUCAACAGGGCCACCUUUCCCCUGAAAUCUCUAAGGAAGCAUCCUUCCUCCAUCUUCUAGCCUCUGGUAGCUGCUGAGAAUCUCUGGCAUUCUUUGGCCUGUAGAUGCAUCACUCCAAUCUCUACCUUCAUCUUCAUAUGGCUUUCUCUUCUGUGUGUGUCCAAAUUUCCCCUUCCUUAGAAGGACACCAGUCGUACUGAAUUUGGUACCCACCCUAAUCCAGUAUGAUCUAAUCUUAACUUGAUUCGGUCUGAAAGUACUCAUUUCCAAAUAAGGUCACCUCCACAGUUUCCCGGUAGACAUUAAUUUGGGGGUGGGUGGGGGGACUAUUCAAAGCAGUAUAGGGCAUUGAGUUCAGAUGAGGGCAAGUCAGAAAGAUGAUCAAAGGAUGUUUCCUAGAAAAGAAGCUGAGCUGUAUCCUGAAGGUACUUACAGAAAGAGAACCGACAAGCCUGAAAUGACCCUUCUGUGAACAAGGUUUUACACUGGGAUUUGAAAUACCGGAAAAGUUGUGUCCCUAGAAAAGUAACUCUAGCCUUAACAUCAGCAAAAUGAGGAUUUAUUUUUAUUUUUAUUUAUUUUUGCAUUCAGAGAGGAAUGAUGAUGUCAUCCAUGUCCUUACACACAUCUUAAUUUGUGGAUUUUUUCUUACUUAACUCUCUUAAUUGGAUGAAAGUGGAAUAGUCUGACAUUAUACAGUUUGUUGAGGAAAAACAACUGUUUAAACUGAUUAAAAAAUUGUUUCCAUAUCAGGCUGGUAUUAGACUGUUUUCACACUGGUAUAAAGACAUACCUAAAACUGGGUGAUUUAUAAAGGAAAGAGGUUUAAUUGACUCACAGUUCUGCAUAGCUGGGGAGGCCUCAGGAAACUUACAGUCAUGGUGAAAAGUGAAGGGGAAGCAGGCAACUCUUCACCAGGUGGCAGGGAAGAAAGCAAGCACAGGGGAAAUUGCCACUUAUAAAACCAUCAGAUCUCAUGAGAACUUGCUCACUAUCAUGAGUAAACCAUGAGGGAAACCGCCCCCAUGAUCCAAUCAUCUCCCACCAGGUCUUUCCUUUGACAUUACAAUUCCAGAUGAGAUUUGGGUGGGGACACAGAGCCAAAUCAUAUCAAGCCUGUACUCCAGAUAUUUUUUUUAAAGCUGAAAGUCCCCAAAAGCUCAUCUCUGGAGCCUGAUCCUGGGCGUUCCUGAGCCACUGCAAAUAUCUUAGAGAGCCUUUCUGUGCUAGUGGCUCAGAUGACUCAUAUUGGGCAGUGAUUAGUUGAGAGCAUGGGCAGCAUUGGGAUCUCAUGCUGAUAGCAAGCACUGCUAGCAGUUGGUUACUUUGCCUCUUUGGCUUUUACCUGUGGGUUCAGGAUGGGGAUUAUGAAGGCUAUUAAAAGGGCUCCUUGACGGUCCCUUAGUCUUAAAACCUCCUGCAGGAGGAACUGCAGAUUCUCUCAGACUCUCAGAUAGGGAAACCCAAAAAGCCUUAUUAGCGAUUUAACCUUUGAGUAAAUUGCCUUAUCAGCUCUUCUUUGAGAAGACCCUCAACUAAGAGUAGUUCCACGCAUAACAAAGCUGUGAUGAGGUUAGCUGAGACAUAAGAGGGAUGAGAAGCGAGACCCAGUCUGGGUCACUGGGCCUCCCCAGAGGGGAAAGGCCUGACCCAGGGCAUCCACGAGCAGCAAAGGGAUACUUGGUGUCCAAGAAAGAACACCCAACCAGGAGAGAGAAGGGGGACCUGAAAGUAGGAAGGGGGAGGAGCUAAAGACGUACUUUGUCCACAUCACAAUUUUGCCUCUCUUUGGUUUGAGGUUAUCCAGUAUAGUCCUAUCUGACAUAAUUUUUGAAGUCGUUUCUCCAAGGAAUGUCUCUGAAUCAGCUUUAAGCUCUCUUUGGUCCUCCAAGGACACUAGAAGUCAGGCAGAGAUUCCUUAAGAUCCAGUGUAUAUAUCAACAGCCUCUGAUCUCCUAGUUAUCCUGUUUUUUUGAGAAGAGCUAAGAGGAAAAGGAAUAAGGGCCCCAAUUCCCACCAGGUGACACAGAUGACAUUUGACACCAGCACAUGACGCUUGCAUCACCCUCUGGGGGCCUCCCACAAUCCUGGGUCCUCAGCGAUUCUACGGACUCUGUGAUUCUAUGUACACAGAAUUCGAAUCUUAAGUAGAGUGUCCUUGUGAAACCCCUACAACUUUGAUUGAAAAUAUAUACUGAAUUAAAAUCUGUAUGGUAAUAAGUUUCUUUUUAGUGAACAGGAAACAUGCCAAAGUAUAUCUUAACAUUCAGUUGUAGAUAAUUAUGUGAGCUGAUUUUGUGUCAAUGAAUCUGAAGUUCUGAUUUGGUAUUAGAAAAUCAUACGACACCCCAAGCUUUCUCCUAGGAAGUUGUCUUUUCCAUUUUUAGCAUUUCAUUUGGUUGUCUGUCAUCACCUAUAACACACACGUGCAUACACAUACAAAUGCUGCUAUAAUUAACAUUUUGGGUUCCUUUAUCAUUUUUUAAACCUCAAACUUUUUGUUAUGUAAUGCACACUUAUUUGAAAACAUCUCCUGUUGAAAAUCACAGAGGUCACAGGUAGAAAUGCUGUAUAUCCAGCACUGCUGCAGAAUGCACAUUCUUUUCAUCAGCACAUGAAACAUUCUCCAGGAUAGACCAUAUCUUAGGCCACAAAACAAGUCUUAAUGUAUUUAAAAUAAUUAAAAUCAUAUCAAGUAUCUUUUCUGAGCACAAUGGAAUAAAACUAAAAAUCACUAACAAGAGGAACUCUUGAAACUCUUGAAUACAUGAAAACUUAACAACAUGCUCCUGAGUAAACAAUGGGUCAACAAAGAAAUUAAGAAGAAAAUUUAAAAGUUUCUUGAAACAGAAGAAAAUAAAAACGCAACAUAUCCGAAUUUAUGAGUUACAGCUACAGCCAAUCUAAGAAGGAAGUUUAUAGAAAUAAACACCUACUUUAUAAAAAUUGCAGAGCCCCAGGGCCUUGAGCAAACAUAGACAGUAGUCAUGGAGUGGUUAUAGCAGGCCUUGGGUGAGACCCAGCACUGUGGCCUCAUUAUGAGUUUAGUCAUAAUGGUUGUGGUCACAGGGGUACUCGUGUUACUCCACCCCCCAGCUUUAGGUGGCUCAGAACAGAGAGACUCUGUAUGUUUGGGAGUAAGUAAGGGGAAAGAACAAGAGUCUCUGCCUGGUAAUCCAGAUAAUUCUCCUGGAUCUUGUCCAAGACUAUCAAGGCAGUAUCUCUACGAGACUGCAAGAACCACAGCAUUACUGCGCUUGGGGUGCCCCUUAAAGCAAAAGCAGUUUAGAUCACAACACCCAAGUCCUUUCAAAUAUCUGGAAAGCCUUGCUACGAAAGACAGCUAUAAAUAAGCUCAGAUAGUAAAGACUACAAUAAAUACCUAACCCUUCAAUGCCCAGACACCAAAGAACAUCUUCUAGCAUCAACACCAUCCAAGAAAAUGUGACCUCACCAAAUGAUCUAAAUAAGGUACCAGGGACCGAUCCUGGAGAAACAGAGAUACGUGACCUUUCAGACAGAGAAUUCAAAUUAGCUGUGUUGAGAAAACACAAAGAAAUUCAAGAUAACACCAAAGGAAUUCAGAAUUCUAUCAGCUAAAUUGAAG